GACGACCCUGUCUGGCUCCAGUUUCAGGCUGUGGCAGUUGAGCACGCAAAGAAAGGCUUUCCAGAGGAUGGCGAGG
rnacentral:snRNA from 11 species